rnacentral:rRNA from 1 species
UACGAAGGGAGCUAGCGUUGUUCGGAAUCACUGGGCGUAAAGCGCACGUAGGCGGAUUUGCCAGUCAGGGGUGAAAUCCCGGGGCUCAACCUCGGAACUGCCUUUGAUACAGCAAGUCUUGAGUUCGAGAGAGGUGGGUGGAAUUCCUAGUGUAGAGGUGAAAUUCGUAGAUAUUGGGAAGAACACCAGUGGCGAAGGCGGCUCACUGGCCCGGUACUGACGCUGAGGUGCGAAAGCGUGGGGAGCAAACAGG